ACAUUCAUGCCCCUUGCCAAGACAUGACAGAUGAAAAAAAGAACAGGAAGCAAGAAGAGGGUGACCCCUACAGCCUGUCAAGUGGUAGGUGCCAACUAUAGAUUGUUUUAGACUUUUUCUGUAAGACGUAAUAAAGGGGUAUGUUUGCCAACUAGACUUCUAGGCACAAGAAAUGACAAGUCAGUCAGAAUUGGUUUAAAAAGAACAUACUUCAACUUCAGUUCUAAUGAGGAGAUGCGAUAUAUUUUGUCUACAAUCCGUCACGGCAGUAUACUUUUUCAGUCUUUUGAUGUUGAAUUUGUAAUAACUCCCUCCUUUUAUCU
rnacentral:lncRNA from 1 species